rnacentral:rRNA from 1 species
GAUGAACGCUGGCGGCGUGCCUAAUACAUGCAAGUCGAGCGAACGGACGAGAAGCUUGCUUUUCUGAUGUUAGCGGCGGACGGGUGAGUAACACGUGGAUAACCUACCUAUAAGACUGGGAUAACUUCGGGAAACCGGAGCUAAUACCGGAUAAUCUUUUGAACCGCAUGGUUCAAAAGUGAAAGACGGUCUUGCUGUCACUUAUAGAUGGUUCCGCGCUGCAUUAGCUAGUUGGUAAGGUAACGGCUUACCAGGGCAACGAUGCGUAGCCGACCUAAGCGGGUGAUCGGCCACAUUGGAACGGAGACACGGUCAAGACUACUACGGGAGGCAGCAGUAGGGAAUCUUCCGCAGUGGGCGGAAGCAUGGCGGAGCAACGCGGCGUGAGUGAUGAAGGUCUUCGGAUCGUAAAACUCUGUUAUGAGGGAAGAACAUAUGUGUAAGUAACUGUGGACAUAGUGACGGUACCUAAUAAGAAAGCCACGGCUAACUACGUG